AAACUCAAAGGAAUUGACGGGGGCCCGCACAAGCGGAGGAACAUGUGGUUUAAUUCGAUGAUACGCGAGGAACCUUUCCCCGGCUCGGACGGUGCAGGAAGGAUCUAGAGAUAGUGACGCCUUCGGGGCCUGCAUCGAGGUGCUGCAUGGUUGUCGUCAGCUCGUGUCGUGAGAUGUUGGCUCAAGUGCCAUAACGAGCGCAACCCUUGCCGCCAGUUACCAUCAAGUGAAGUUGGGGACUCUGGCGGGACUGCCACCGUACGGUGUGAGGAAGGCGGGGAUGACGUCAAAUCAGCACGGCCCUUACGUCCGGGGCGACACACGUGUUACAAUGACGCCUACAGAGGGAAGCCACCCGGCGACGGGGAGCAGAUCUCGAAAAGGCGCCUCAGUUCGGACUGGAGUCUGCAACCCGACUCCACGAAGCUGGAUUCGCUAGUAAUCGCGCAUCAGCCAUGGCGCGGUGAAUACGUUCCCGGGCCUUGUACACACCGCCCGU
rnacentral:rRNA from 1 species